GACAGAGGUCCCGAGCGUUAGGCGGAAUCACUGGGCUUAAAGCGUGUGUAGGCGGAUCGUUAAGUACCUUGUGAAAUCCCACGGCUUAACCGUGGAACGGCUUGGUAUACUGGCGGUCUUGAGCCACUUAGGGGCUGUCGGAACAAACGGUGGAGCGGUGAAAUGCGUAGAUAUCGUUUGGAACGCCAACGGUGAAAACAGACAGCUGGGGAGUGUGCUGACGCUGAGACACGAAAGCCAGGGGGAGCGAACGGGG
rnacentral:rRNA from 1 species